UACGAAGGGGGCUAGCGUUGCUCGGAAUCACUGGGCGUAAAGCGCACGUAGGCGGGUCUUUAAGUCAGGGGUGAAAUCCUGGAGCUCAACUCCAGAACUGCCUUUGAUACUGAGGAUCUCGAGUCCGGGAGAGGUGAGUGGAACUCCGAGUGUAGAGGUGAAAUUCGUAGAUAUUCGGAAGAACACCAGUGGCGAAGGCGGCUCACUGGCCCGGUACUGACGCUGAGGAGCGAAAGCCAGGGGAGCCAAAGCGGG
rnacentral:rRNA from 1 species